UCAAACUUGGUCAUUUAGAGGAAGUAAAAGUCGUAACAAGGUUUCCGUAGGUGAACCUGCGGAAGGAUCAUUAAAAAGAUCGACCCAACAUAUGGACGAUCAAAUCCAUAUCCACCUUGUGUGCACUUAUUGACCGUUCGCUUUGGCAGGAGUUGUCUUCGAUCCGGCCCAACCCCUAAAAUUUAUUAGGGGGGGAGGGAUCGAAGCGGCGAGGGGGAAUAGUCCACCUCGGCCUGCCAGAGUUUUUCCCUUUAAAAGGGAAAAGAAAUAUCCACACUUUUUUAAACCCUUUGGACUGAACCCUCGUCUCGAUUCUUUGUAAUCGGUCGAAUCUAAUACAACUUUCAACAACGGAUCUCUUGGCUCUCGCAUCGAUGAAGAACGCAGC
rnacentral:misc_RNA from 1 species